rnacentral:lncRNA from 14 species
CUGCACUGGAGAGGCUUCAGGGGAGAGGGGCUGCUUGAGUACUAACCCUGGGCUGAGCCCCUACAGCAGCUUGGCUAGUUCCGGUCUCCUGCUGGUGUUUAUGCCUUUCCUGGACCUUGUUAUCAGGCCUCCCACGAUGGACUGAAUAUCUUUUUGGGAGUGACCACGCCUCCACUGGGCUCUUCCGGCAGGAGGCAGGGCCCGUUUUCUCUGUCUUCACAGUGCUCGAAGCUAGAGUGAUUUUUCUGCUGGGUUUCUAUCCGUGGGCCGUUCCUUCCUCUCUGCAGAUCUUUUGGGAACUCCUAGCUGGACAGGGCUUCCCACAUGGGGCUGCGAUGAACCACUAGACUCUGGGUCUCAAUCCGCGGCUGGCUCUGGCUCCUGCUCAAUCCUAGCUAUAGCACCCAAGGGUCAUGACUCUCGGGUUUCAGAGCAUAUCAGCAUCACUAGGGAAUCGGUGAGAACCUGAGAUUUCCUCAAUAAUUCAUACCCCUGUUCCUCCUCCUGCAGCGUCACGUGGCCCUGAACAAAGGCGGUGAACUUUAUCCGGCAGUAACCUAAUCUCCUGGAUCGUUUACCAACAACACUCAGAGUGAUCUCCGGGAUUACCUUGGGCUUUGGCCAGCACCAGGGAGACUGGGCUGAACAGAAGUUUCUGGCUCUGUGUGGACCACGUUCUCUCCUAGCGUCAGAGCUUUCCUCAGAGUUCUGUGAGAGCAGUGUUAACUGUGGACAGUCCUGGACUCACAUCACCCCAGUUUGUUGCCUCAGAAGACAAAACUCUCCCAGGAUCUUGAGAUGGAUCGAGAUUGAGAGUCCUGAGUUCAGAGCUCUUAAUGGAACGGGCAAAGUUCUAAGGAGAGAAGCUAUGGAGAUGGGGAAAGGAAACUCAGGUGGAGCAGAGAUGGAGGCACAAGCCAAGGCCUCUGUGAGUCACCAGAAGCAGGGGCAGGACCAGCCUUGGUAACGCUGUGAUUUAGGACAGCCGACAAUCCCAACAUGUGUUAAUUCUAAUACAUUUCUGUCUUUUGAAGCAGUCCUGUUAGGAUCAGUUGGUUAUGGCGGCCCCAGGAGAUGAAUGUAUGAGGUAAGGCUAACCCCUGUGCAGGCUGCCGGGGUCUAUCUGUCCUGAUUUUGUUCUUGAGCUUAGGAAUGUCAGGCUGUGCCCCUCCAUGUGGGGCUCUUGGGAGACACAUUGUAAACAGCAAAAUCACAGUGUGAGAGUCACCCUGAACUCUGCAUGUGUGCCCUGAAGCUCUGAGGCUCCCACUGAGUGCAGGGCUGCAAGUUAGUAAGAGUUCUGUAUUUACCAAUACCACUGUGCGUUGGGCACUUGCCCCUGUGCUGAGCAUUGACCCGAGCAUCCGGGAGUGCUCUGUGUGCUGGCGCUGUGUGUUCUUCUGCACUUUUGGAGCAAGGACAGCUAUUAGUGGUUGAACCUGAGUCAAAGAUCAAAUGUUCACCGUCAGGGCACUGACCAUUCUGUCCUGGCUUACUGCACAUGGCUACUGCUGGUGCUCUGGGACAUUACUGUUUUUCUCCUGCCUCCUCCUCCAGGAUCUAAGAUGAUCACAACAGACUCUGGAAAUCCACCAUCUCUAGUCCAAGUCCUUGGGUCAGACUUGGCUUUGUCCUCACUAGAUGUACAGCCUCAGUAGCCAAGAUCUCUUACGUUAGAGAAAUUAUGUAGUUGGGAACAUGAACCAGGUACCACAGAGCUUGAGUGGUUAAUGCUAAAACCUAGUCUUGGAGGGAGGUGGUGGAUCACAUGGAGAAGCUGAGUUUCCAUCAGAUGUCUAUAACAGCUGGGGGUGUAGGGCUCCUCCUCCACAGCUCAAGGCCAGCCUAGGCACCGUAGUGAGUUCUAGGCUCGCCUCUGCUAUAGCAAGGCUUGUCUUAACGGAAACAUACUAGAGCAGGAAGAAAGGGGCUCAGCCUUUUUUUCAGGAACUCACUUCCUCUCUGACUGACCCCUGUGACCAAUCGUUACCCAUUUCAAGGGCAGCACCCUCCUGAUCCUGUCUCCUCUCACAGGUCCGCACUUCUAUAUCGUUACUAUGCGAAUAGAUUUUCCAGUGUGCAGACUUUUGGGGGCCUCUUCCCUUCUGUGGUACCGUGGUACCAGGAUAGGCAUCCUCUGGCUCUCAGAG